UACAGUGACCCUGACUGUCUUUUGCUGUAAUUACUGAAUAUCCCUCCUCUUCUGUAAGACAUUUCCAAAUUAUUUCUGCACUCCUGAAAGGGGUGCCUCACAUAAAUUGCCACGUGUCCUCCUCUCCUCCUCUGUCUUGCACUGCCCCACCUGCCUGGUUUCCUGUCUUUACACCCCCUUUCCCAGGACCCUCUCUUGAGGGCUCCUCUCUGGAGGUGAUAGGGGUCCUGCUAAGGGAGACACGUCCAGAUUCUCUUAAAACUGCUGCGCCCCGUCUUCCUGGGGAGACACGCUGGAGCUGUGGAUUUGGUUCGGAACAGGUUCUCUCCAAUUCCUUGCCUCCUCUGAACCACCCCUACCCCCAUGCCACAGCAUUGCUUGAAAGCAGAGAUUCAUAGUGUCUCUGUAACGCAGCCUCUUCUGUUCCGUAUUCCCUACAAGCAAUUCCUAAAGCUAACAAAAAACCUAACUCUCUCGCCAGGUACAAGCAAAAGUCCAGAUGCAGUCUGCUGCUGCUCCUUUAUAUCCCUGGACAGUUCUUUCCUCCAUCGACAAGUGUAAAUAAUAUGCAACCUCUGCUCAACCUACUGGUCAACUUUCCCAAAUAUUUAUUAUAUUUAUUCCAGAAAAUUUAUCAUCUACAUUUAGAUUAAUGAUGACAUCGCAGAUGUAAUAGAUGAAUAUUUCUUUACAUUUAUGUAACAGAAGGGUCAUUCUGGAGAUUAAAAAAUAGUCUGUUCCAGAAUCAAAGUCUACUGCUGGUACACAACACUAAUUAUGAUAUUUAGAAACAGUGUUCCUCCAACUUCUUAGUCACAUUUCAUACUCCUUGGUGUUCUGUUUUAGCUGUUAAAUGAGAAAAAAAAAAAAAAGAAAGAAAGAAAGACUUUAAUCAAAGGGAAAUGGAGUAAAAAGUAAAUAUUACAGUGUGAGUAUCAUUAGCCAAGAUGAGCGUGGCAUCCAAAGAAGAAUUUGAUUAGUCUAGAACUUUCGGAGAAUCUAGAACCGUUGAGACCUUCACUUUUAGCUGCACUGCAGAAUUACAGCUUUUCUGAUUACUUUCACGUCUAUACCCUCCAGGCUGACCACUCUCGGGAACAUCACACUCAUGAAUCCAACUGCCACCUCCCCGUCUCCACUACCUGAGUGUCUAAGAGGCCUCUCAGAUGCCCGGGGUGUACCAAGAAAAGGCAUCUAGUUACUGCAGAAGCUGAUAUUUCCCUUGAUCUCCAACACCUGAACUGCUUCCUCCGCCGCUGGUGGGUUACAUCCUGUAUCCUGACAAGCACAAGAUGCCAGAGAUCUAGUCAACAUAGUUUCCACUCCGACCUGGAACCAGUCAGUUUCACAAGGAGGAAAAUUAAGUUCUGAGACCAGAAUCGAAGCCCCAGAAGUGGCCAUUGCUACCGAUUUGUUUUUGCUUCUGGAACUGCUCAGUGAACAGGUAUUUACAUAAUAUGUAUUUUUUAAAAAGAUAAAUAAGUGAAGGUAGGUGUCUUUGUCAGCCCAGGCUGCUACAACAAAUACCAUAGACUGAAUGGCUUAGACAACAACAUUUAUCUCUCACAGUCUUGGAAGCUGGGAAGUCCAAGAUCAAGGUGCCAGCAGAUUUGGUGUCUGGUGCGAGCCCGCCUCCUGGCUUGUAGCUAGCCGCCAUCUUGCUGUAACCUCACAUGAAAGAGAAAGAGGUCAUUUCUCUCCUGUCUCUUCUUUUGAGGGCUGUCUCUUGUGACCUAAUUACCUCCCCAAAGCUCCGCCUCUAAAUAUAUCACACUGGA